CUUUGCUUGUGCCGUCAUCCGCAGGCGGCAAGCUGUAGCGUGCUGUGUGUUUGAAAACAAAGCGCUAUGGAGGAGAUGAUUGCGUCAAAUGUUUGCCGGUUGUGUUUAUGGAAAACUGCACCGCUUAUACCGAUAUUUGGUUCGAACAAUCUAUAUGAGAAGAUAACACAACUGGUGCCGAUAUCUAUCCACCCUGGCAAUGGAUUGUCACAGCUUAUUUGUGGAGAGUGCCUUUACAAAGUGGAACUGUUCAAUGAAUUCAGAUCGUCAGCACUGAAAUGUGAUAAGAUGCAGCAAGAUUACAGACAGUUAUGGGAUACACACCUUUUGUCUGAAAUAGAUAGAGUAUCUUGGAGUUCAUCACCAGAUGGCAAUGGCAGGUUCCGACUACCAUCACUGGCACUGCCACGUGUAAAGACAGAACCUCCCAGCUGUGAUGCAUCAUCCCCAGCCACAAGACCAUCAGAACAACCCAAGGAUGUCGACAAGGAGGCAUGCCCAACAGAGAUUGACCACGAAGAAGUGAUGUGCUUGACAGAGGAGCGGCGAAAGAGACGUUCUACUUCUCUUUAUUUGCGCGCGCCUUGUCCUGAAUCUCCGGGUUGCCCAUACAUAUGCCGAUACUGCAAAAAGGAGCUACCAACAUCAAUGUCCUUAGCUAACCAUGAGCGUAAGCACAUUGACAACGUGUGCCUAAUUUGUGAUGAGAAGCUGCCCAGCGAGAAAGCCCUGCGCUUGCAUGUGCGGACUGUCUGUAAUAGAUUGAAUGCAGUAAAUGAAGAGCCAGAAAAUGAAGUGCCUGCUGAGAAUUUCAAGUGUGGCACAUGCCUAAGGAUCUUCCGCUCAUGUAUUGCGUUGUGGCGGCAUUGCGUUUGCCUUUCUCACAAUCAGCCACAAAGUGCGGACCAGCUCCAGUUCCACAGGAUGAAACGGUUUACCGUUGCAACAUCCAAAAGAAAAUGAGAAAGACAAUGCCACAAUUUGAGUGACCUGCUACCAGUAGUGUAUCUUUCUCUCUGGUGGUCAAACCAAUCUACAGCUCCCAUUACAACUGUGUACUCUGCUACGUAUGCAGAGCAGGAUAUAGCAGAGGUUGUACCAUCUCUAUUUUGUCUUGUGGCAAAUCUUAUCUCUUUCAGAUGGGCACCAGAAUUCCCCAAGAGGAUAAGAAAGAGUUACCAAAACGACAUCCAACAGGAAGUGUCGGCAGAGGUCGAGGUAUGAGUGGAUAUGGCAGAGGUCGGGGUAUGAGUGGAUAUAGCAGAGGUAGGGGUGUAAGCGGAUAUAGCAGGGGUCGGGGGGUAAAUCGAUAUGGCAGAGGUCGGGGUGUAAGUGGAUACAGCAGAGGUCGAGGGAAGAAAAUGGUUUUCAACAAGCGGCGCGUAUGGGUGUAUGAUAAGACACCAUGUGAUGUUUGUGGUAGAAUUUUCACAUCGAAUUGUGGGAUGCUCAUCCAUCGAACACAUGCCCACAAAUAAUAAGUUGUGUGAUUGUGUGUAACAUUCAAGAUUAAUGAAUUCUUGUUGUCAGAAGUGUAGACAAUAUUGUAACAGUGGCUGUAACUGUGACAUUCAUCCACCCAUGCUCCAUUUUAAGGUAAUGGAAGUUAUAAGAUGAAAUAUAAUGUUUUGAUAUUUUUUCCUUAAGUUAUUAAUUUUUGAGGUAAUUUGUUCUGAGAACUGUGUGUAAAGAACAGUUUUUUCUAUGAAUGUUAAUUUAAGGAGCUAAAACAUUUAUGUAUUGUGACAUUUGAAGACAUGUUUGAGAUUUCAAUUUAUCAGACUAAUAUUGAUAUUAAAAUCAUGUGACUGAAUUUCACUGUGGCUAUAGGGUGGUACUGGAAUUUCAGUGAAUUCUUGAGAGACUAUUCAGAUUAUUAAAAAGACAUCUUCUGUUGUAUAUAUUUCCAUUAUGUUCCUAUAAAGCUUAUGUUAUAAAUAUAAUUGUAUGUGGUUGACUUCCGAAAGGAAAAUUUGCAUUGAUUAUAAAUGCUACUUCUGCUGUCAGAAAAGGUGUAUUGUUUCUGAUUGCUUAAUAAUAGUAAAGAAUAUGUGUAUGUACUACUUUUAAUUUUUCAUAUGAGAAACACAGUGAACUGUUUCUUUUUUUCCCCAAAUUAGUUCCACAGUUUCCAUCUGAUAAAGUUCCAGUUUUUUAUGUCGAGAGAGUCUGUGAAUGUGCAUAAUUUUUGUUAAAUGUAUAUGGAAUUGCAAGAAAAUUUUAUGGUAAUUUAGUUCUAGUAUAAUAUUUUGUGCACUGUGGAUAAAAUGAAAUUGAAAGAAUAUAGUUUAUACUGAUUUCUGUUCUUCCACAAUAGUGGUUGUAAAAUAAUGUGAUCUAUUGAAUGGUUAACAAGAGCCUAGUUCAUCUUGCACUGUCAUGAAGCAAUAAUAAUAUAUAUUUUCAGUGUUGCAGCAGCAUUCUUUGACCACUUAUUGCAUGACUUUGCUGGGAAGAAUUACUGAAGACAGUGAGAUCACGUAAGAUGUAGACUGUACAAAUAAAAUAAUUACUGGAACUACAUUUA